rnacentral:rRNA from 1 species
ACGUAGGUGGCAAGCGUUGUCCGGAAUUAUUGGGCGUAAAGAGCAUGUAGGUGGGCUUUUAAGUCCGAUGUGAAAAUGCGGGGCUCAACCCCGUAUGGCAUUGGAUACUGGAAGUCUUGAGUGCAGGAGAGGAAAGGGGAAUUCCCAGUGUAGCGGUGAAAUGCGUAGAUAUUGGGAGGAACACCAGUGGCGAAGGCGCCUUUCUGGACUGUGUCUGACACUGAGAUGCGAAAGCUAGGGUAGCAAACGG